rnacentral:rRNA from 1 species
UACGAAGGGUGCAAGCGUUAAUCGGAAUUACUGGGCGUAAAGGGUGCGUAGGCGGUUCGUUAAGUCUGUUGUGAAAUCCCCGGGCUCAACCUGGGAAUGGCAAUGGAUACUGGCGAGCUAGAGUGUGAUAGAGGAUGGUGGAAUUCCCGGUGUAGCGGUGAAAUGCGUAGAUAUCAGGAGGAACACCGGUGGUGUAGACGGCUUUCUGGACCGUAACUGACGCUGAGACGCGAAAGCGUGGGGAGCAAACAGG